rnacentral:rRNA from 1 species
UACGUAGGGGGCAAGCGUUGUCCGGAUUUACUGGGCGUAAAGAGCGCGUAGGCGGACGUUUAAGUGUGGCCUGAAAGCCCCCGGCUCAACCGGGGAUCCGGGUUGCAAACUGGACGUCUUGAGGGGGAUAGGGGAAGGUGGAAUUCCUGGUGUAGCGGUGAAAUGCGUAGAGAUCAGGAGGAAGGCCGGUGGCGAAGGCGGCGCUCUGGAACAUUUCUGACGCUGAGGCUCGAAAGCGUGGGGAGCAAACAGG